GGCAUCUGGUGUGAAAAUUCACCCAUCAGAAGCAGAAGCCAUCAUUGUCAGAUCUCGGAAGUUAAGCAAGUCCGGGCCUGGUUAGUACGGUACUUGGAUGGGAGACUGCUGGGAAUAUCAGGUGCCA
rnacentral:rRNA from 1 species